rnacentral:rRNA from 1 species
UACGGGGGGGGCAAGCGUUGUUCGGAAUUACUGGGCGUAAAGCGUGCGCAGGCGGUUGUGCAAGACAGAUGUGAAAUCCCCGGGCUCAACCUGGGAACUGCAUUUGUGACUGCACAGCUUGAGUGCGGCAGAGGGGGAUGGAAUUCCGCGUGUAGCAGUGAAAUGCGUAGAUAUGCGGAGGAACACCGAUGGCGAAGGCAAUCCCCUGGGCCUGCACUGACGCUCAUGCACGAAAGCGUGGGGAGCGAACAGG